rnacentral:lncRNA from 1 species
AUGUGGUCCUUCUGCCCUUCCUGGGUCCCUCAAACCAACAGCUUCUUAAAUAACGCUGUCUUGAGACUGUUAUUGUCACUAGAGAUCCAAAGCAUAUUUAAACUAUUGCCAUUUCCAGAGUCCUCUUUGUUGUAUCAAACCUUUCUCAUUUCUCACUUUAUAUUUUCUCAAGGAGAUUGGCUUCAAAGUGUUUUCCGUGUUCUUUAUCUAUCUUUGGAUUUUCAUGCUUGCAUUACCUUGGGCAGGACGAUGCCUCCAGUAGGACUCCUUAACCUUCCACUUCACAAGGGUAAUUCCCACAGAUCUUCCAGGGAAGAGUCUGCUGAAGGUGCUUCGUUUCCUACAAAGAAGAAAACUCAUUUGGGGAAGGUAAGAAAAAAUUAAAGCUUGGGAAGGCCUUCAGGUAAAAAAGGUAUACCUGCACAAGUGUCAUGGAAAGGUUCAGUAGUUUGAUA